UACGUAGGGCGCAAGCGUUGUCCGGAAUUAUUGGGCGUAAAGAGCUCGUAGGUGGUUUGUUACGUCUGCUGUGAAAACCUAGGGCUUAACCCUGGGCCUGCAGUGGAUACGGGCAGACUAGAGGUAGGUAGGGGAGAAUGGAAUUCCCGGUGUAGCGGUGAAAUGCGCAGAUAUCGGGAGGAACACCGGCGGCGAAGGCGGUUCUCUGGGCCUUACCUGACACUGAGGAGCGAAAGCGUGGGGAGCGAACAGG
rnacentral:rRNA from 1 species